GACGAACGCUGGCGGCGUGCUUAACACAUGCAAGUCGAACGGAAAGGCCCUGCUUUUGUGGGGUGCUCGAGUGGCGAACGGGUGAGUAACACGUGAGUAACCUGCCCUUGACUUUGGGAUAACUUCAGGAAACUGGGGCUAAUACCGGAUAGGAGCUCCUGCUGCAUGGUGGGGGUUGGAAAGUUUCGGCGGUUGGGGAUGGACUCGCGGCUUAUCAGCUUGUUGGUGGGGUAGUGGCUUACCAAGGCUUUGACGGGUAGCCGGCCUGAGAGGGUGACCGGCCACAUGGGGACGGAGAUACGGCCCAGACUCCUACGGGAGGCAGCAGUGGGGAAUAUAGCACAAUGGGCGGAAGCCUGAUGCAGCAACGCCGCGUGCGGGAUGACGGCCUUCGGGUUGUAAACCGCUUUCGCCUGUGACGAAGCGUGAGUGACGGUAAUGGGUAAAGAAGCACCGGCUAACUACGUG
rnacentral:rRNA from 1 species